rnacentral:lncRNA from 1 species
GAGAGUGCAUGUCCAUCAAGGUCACGCUUGAGACUAGCAGAGGCGAAACCAGCGGGAAGACGACUUCGCCACCAAGGGCGGGCGGGCCUGCUGGGAUACUCCGGAUUCCUGGAUUCCAGGUAAAUCAGAGGAACAAACCUGAACAGAAAUAUACAGGAAGUGAUGUGAUGCUGAAGCUUAACGCUUAUUUCAGAAGUCUGGUAUCUGGUGCUCUUAACAGCAAAAACUAUAUUAUUUGCAAAAUCACCACGCUUUUACUUGUAUUAUAUAGUAAUUUUUAAAAAAAUAAAUAUUGACAAUUUGUUCUUGAAAGCCUGAAU